GCUAUUUCAUAGGCUUGGGGUGCUGUUUAAGGGAGGUCAUGCAGGUAAAUUUUUAAUUCAGUGUGGCAGACUGUGAACAAUGUUUUUUCCUCUUUUGAGCCAAUGAUAUAUUUGACUCCACUUCCUAGUUUUUCUUCUAUAAAAACAUUCAGGAGCCCAAGUUCUCUGCUGUUCAGGGAAGCUUUAAGUCAGACCUCCACUGGGUAGAGGGGAAAGCAGGAGACUGCAAUGCAGAAAUCCUUUUAACUUUCAGGACCCAACUAAGAAAUGAGUAGCUUCCCUCAGCACCAGUAACACUAACCUCUCCCAUCACAGGAGCAGCACCAACUGACCUGGAAUGAAGAAGCUCCCCCUGGUGGCUUCUGCUGGGUGGUCCCUGCCUUAGAAGACCUGAAAAUGGAAGAGAGCAGCCAGCUUCUGGGGACAACUGGAAAGAGCUUGAUGUCUUUGACUAUUUCUUAUGAGAGUUCUAUUUAUUUAUGGUUAUAUUUAUUUAUUUUUCAAAGCUUCUAUUUUAAUAUUUAUGUUAGUUUUUUAAGAUGUGAAUGUGUUCCAUGAAACAUGACUAAGUCUUGAUUGUUAUUUAACUUAAAGAUGAUGGGUUUAAACUGUCUCAUUAAAUUGAUAUUUAUUAGGAGAGAAGUGCCAGCCACUUGAUAAAAGAGGGUGUGUGGGGAUCCAACCGAUUGCACAGUGUGAUCAAUAUUAGAGUGAGGGAAUGUGUGCACAUCUAUUUUUGUACUUUUUAAAAAGAAUGUUGGGUGUUAUUUAUUGAAAGUCUCACACAUUAUGUAGUCAACAUUCAUAUGUUGAAGUUUCCCUUGGACAUUUUAUGUCUUGCUUGUAGGGCAUAAUGCCUUGUUUGAUAUUUAUUAUGAAUUGUUUCUCUCCGUCUUAGAACAGAGAAGUUAUAACUACUGUCAUAUUUUUACAAAUGAAAAUAAAAAUUUUACUGAAA
rnacentral:lncRNA from 1 species